rnacentral:rRNA from 1 species
CCUACGGGUGGCAGCAGUGAGGAAUAUUGGUCAAUGGGCGGAAGCCUGAACCAGCCAAGUCGCGUGAGGGAAUAAGGCCCUACGGGUCGUAAACCUCUUUUGCCGGGGAGCAAGGGCGGGGACGUGUCCCGGCCCGGAGAGUACCCGGAGAAAAAGCAUAGGCUAACUCCGGUCCAGCAGCCGCGGUACGACGGAGGGAGCGAGCGUUGUCCGGAUUUACUGGGUGGAAAGGGUGCGUAGGCGGCUUGGCAAGUCAGUAGUGAAAUCCAUGGGCUUAACCCAUGAACUGCUAUUGAAACUGUCGAGCUUGAGUGAAGUAGAGGUAGGCGGAAUUCCCGGUGUAGCGGUGAAAUGCGUAGAGAUCGGGAGGAACACCAGUGGCGAAGGCGGCCUACUGGGCUUUAACUGACGCUGAGGCACGAAAGCGUGGGUAGCAAACAGGAUUAGAUACCCCAGUAGUC